UUGAAACUUGGAACCGUGAACAAAAUGGGGUGGUUGAAAGGAAGCACCAAUCCAGGAACACAAAUUAAAUGUGGCUAGGAUAUUCAUGUUUCAGUUUCAUUUACCUCUUCCCUUUUGGUCUUUUACCACUCACAUGUAGUGCAUAUAAUUAACAUGCUUCCAUCUGCUACCCUCAAAUUCAAAUCUGAUUCUCCACAUCACAUACAGUUUAAUAUACAACCAUACCACACCUCCAUUAAAGCUUUUAGCUCAUGUGUUAUACUUAUACCAUCACCUCUCACAGAACAAAAUUUGAAAAUGUUUCCAUCUUGGUAACAAAAAUGGCUCAAAAGGUUAGUUAUUGUUUGAUCUACCAGAGAGAAUUUUCUCUCAAGACAUGUCAUCUUUCAUAUCCUACCACAAGAAAAUCAGUCCUCUCCAACAAAACCCACCCCAAUCUCUUGAACCACAUCAUAUCCUACCACAAACAAAUCAGUCCUCUCAUCCACACUCAACCAAUGACUUUCCUCCGUCAAAUAGAAUACCAUCAAGACCAAUAAGAACUCAUAAUAACCUAAACGAUUAUCACUAUAGCAUAGUCUAUGAAGCAUGAACACUCCUCUGAUUAGUCGUGUCCCAUUGUCAAACACGCAUCAGUGUCCAACACCAGCACAUACAAUUACAUUGAAUUAUGUCAUUUUCUCAAAUUGUUAUCUGUGUCAACAAUAUGUCCGGGUUCGUGUCAAUUGCAAAUUUAGUGCCAACUCAUUUUCAGGUACAUGACACUCUUUAUCUCAAUUCCUAUAUCUUAAACUAUAUCACAAAUUCAGAAGAAUAAAACACAUGAAUUAAAAGAGGAAAAACAUAAAACAGUGUAAGAUAAAAUAGAAAACGCACUUUGGUUCCAGGUGCAUGUUGGGAGAGUUCUUCAUCAGGGAUAAUAGCAGGCCAUUGUUCUCCUGCUUCACGGAACAUCUGUUCAGUCUCAAGGUACUGACCUUUCUCCAGAAUCAUCUUAGUUAUAUGGUGCGCCGGCGUCGAUGUUGCAUCGAAAGCUUCUUCCACACCAUUAACGAACGUCACCGUGAUCUGCGGCGGAUGCUCAACGUUUUUACGUUUCACCUCAACUGCGCAGGCAUUGAACUCUCGAUCUUCACUUUUNNNNNNNNNNNNNNNNNNNNNUGCGCUAGAAACUCCAUACACGAUGCGGUUUGUGGAUCUAGUGCAUUGAACUCUCGAUCUUCACUUUUGAUGGGAACUUCAGCAUCUUCGACUUUUGCUUUCUGUUUCUCUGUUGAAGAACCCACCGAGUCUAAUCAAAUUGCAAAGUGGUGAUACUAAAUCAUAAGCCUCAGAAAAUUUGGGUUUAAGAUUUAGUUUUAUUCUCUCAGAAAGCAAAAAAAGGUUUUUUUGUGUAUAAUAGAUUUUUGAAAAAAAAUAUAGUUAAUUAUUUUUAUAUAAAUUAUGAAAAAAAAAUUAUAAUCAAUUUUGAGGAAUCUAUUAUUAUAUUAUUUGGGACCUUUUUUUCAAGGUUUAUUGUACACGUCAUUCUCAAAUAAAUCCUCUUCCAAUAUUGUUUUGACUAUAAAAAUAAAUGAUGAUAACCAAAUUAAUAAAAUUGUUGACCACACACCGUAUGUAAAUAUGAUAAUCUCAAUAAUUACAUUAAUCAUGGUAACCGGUGCUUCGGAAUUAAGGUAACCAAAAGCAUUUAACCAUAAAUAUAUCUACACCCACCAGAAAGCAAAGCAUAUUUUUCAUUUGAAUAAAAAAUAAUAAUUUGUUACUAUUCAGCCCAAUUUUAAAUAGAAAGUUAGUUUUGGCUAAUAAAAAAUAAAAACGGUAUAAAUAAGAAUACCACUGAAAUUUUCUUUGAGACAAAACUCAUUGACAAACAGUUCUACAUUAUCAAAUUUACCAAAAAAAAUAAAUUAGCAACUUGCUUGCGAUGCAAAGUCUUGUAGAGAAUGGAGUGAGUUGAUCCACAAUAAUCCCCACUCCACUAUGUUAAAUAUAAUUGAUUUUUAAACUACAAACAAUCUCAGAAUACACGGUAAAUUUGCAGAAUCACUCGUGAGUUGUGCUUUUGAACUUAAUAAUCUUAUAUCAUUUCAAAGCUUUGUGCAAGACAUUAAAUUAAAAAAGCUACAACAUUCACACAGAGAAUUGUGCAUCAACUUGACUAAAUAAAUUUAAGCAUGGGAAGUCUACAAUUUCAAAAUUCAGCAAUUCAGAGAUAUUGGUUAUUAUUCAAAUCAUAUGUAGUUAUGAACUCAAUAAUAUAGUAAGACGCACAACAGAAGUGAUCAAAUGCUACAUUCUCCACCAAAAGGAAACAGGACAAUUCCCAGCAGUUAAUAAGCUCAACACUUUUUAGUUAUUGCUUCUUCUCCUCUGCUUUCCUUGGCUGGAAGAAAGGACACAUAAACACAUAUUAAUUAAAACAGCUUUAACUAUAGGCCAUGUAGUUAUACACAAACAGAUAGCAUGCCAUUGAAGACAGUUAAAAGAAGCCGCACUAAACACAAAACCAUAUCAGAGUUAUCUGAACAGAAAUUAUAAAACCAUGCAUGCAGAUACUUUCGAGUUGUAGAAGCAUAUGCAACGCAACCACGUAUUACACGGAAAAUUUCCAUCAAACUACAGUGCCAAUGUAGUUACUAUUUACAUUUGCAACAGAAUUAUUUCAUAAUUUUCUAGUCACAGAAACCUAUAGUUCUUCUAAUCGGAUCCCCACAAUUUAGGAUGCGAAUGCACCCAUAACUAAAGCUACAAAGAGUUAAAUCAAUUAGGUGAACCUCAACUCAUCUUAAAAAUCAUCAUUCCUCUACCAACUUAUACGAGAAUACAGACCUGAAAUGAUUUUAAGGUACAGUUUAUAUCAAAAUACUGCUGAAUGAAAAAGUAAAGUCACAACAACCAUACUAAGAUCUUGCUGCACCUAGGAAUGCAGAUAUGAUGCUUACUAUGUAACCAAUGGAAUAAUAUUAAGCGGUUGUUUGGAAAAGCUUAUUUAGACAUAAUUUAUGACAUAAGCAUUUGGGCAUGUGUUUGUAAAUUGCAACAGCUUCUGAAAAUAGCUUUGGAUAUGUCGAUAAAUUAAUUUCAGCUUAUUUUUAUAAGCUCCUCGGAAUAGCUUAUUGUCAUAAGGUGUUCACCCUUUGCAUCUUUAAUUGUUUAGAUGAUCAAUUUCAAUCAGACGAUUAAAUACUGUUAGUUGGUAAGUGUUUGUCAUUUUCUAGUACUCGAUAAGUAGUGAAUUGCUCCUUCUGCAUCAAGUCAUGAGUCAUAAUGACUGAAAUCCUUCCUUCUUCCUUGGCACCACUGUGGCUGCCACAAGCUCUCUUCCUCUUCCUCAAGAUCCAUUAAGCCCCUAUUACAUUCAUCCAAACGAAAAUCCUUCACAAGUUUUGCUCUCACUAGUAAUUGAUGGAGCCAAUUCCCAUGGUUGGGCUAGAGGCCUAGAGCCAUGACCAUGGCACUCCAAAUGAUAAACAAGUUUAAGUUCCGAGAUUGUACCGGCAGCGCUUAUUUGGAUCUGUGGCAGCAUCCCAUUUCUCACGUCCCAAAGCGACAUUACCAUGAAUUUUAUCAAGCUUCAAUUAGUAGCAGCAGUAACUUAACACACAGUGAUACAGUUAGUUGCCACAGAAACAAGUGUGUGUAAGCAUGUUAGAAUUUCUAAAUUAAUAAGUGAUCUCUUCUCCUUUAAGCAAGCUGAUAUGUUUGUUUCAAGCAAUUACACUAAGAUGAGAAUCCUUUGGGGUGAACUAGCAACUUUCGAACUCUCCCUUCUUGCACUUCAUCAGCCACUAGAUUUUGUAAUGCGUCCAAACACCAUUCAACAAUUUCGAGUGAUGAUUGUGUGUAAUGGUUCCUACAAGGGCUGAAUAAUAAUUUUGCCACUGUCCAAUCUCAGAUCUUGUUAAUGGCUCCUAUUUGAUACUUUAUACACACCAAAUCUCUCCACUAUGUUACACGGCUAACCAUAUCCCUUUCUUGUCAGGUUACCUUUACUAAUAAUCACUGUUUCAUUCAGGAGAUACCAUCCAUGAUGAUGAUUGGCAGUGCUAAAGAACAUGCAGUGUUAUACAUGACACAGUGAUAAUUCUUAACGGUCAAGUUCACAUUCCUUUACCAAAAACCCUAAAUGCAUCCCCACACCCAUAAGUGGUGUCACUUUCCAUGAAAUUUGACACCAUAGACUAGGUCAUCCCUAAAAUUGGUGCUAUUCUACUUUGUAAAAAAUGAAUUGUACUACUAUACCUCUUGCUGUAUCAAAAGUGUAUGCAUAUGACGAAGAAACUUUUCUUUACUUAAUAGCAUUAGCGCAUUUUUUGUCAUCUCUGUUUUCGAUUUAAUUUGUGUUAUUAUUACUUCUAACUAUUAUGGAUGACAUGCGUAAAAAAAACACUAUUAUGGAUGACAUAUAAAUAAAUACUUGGAUUCGUUUAAUGGAAACCAAGGCACAAACCCGACAACACUUACACCAAUAUGAGUCUUUUGUUCAAAACCAGUACACGUCCAUAAAAAGAAUCAGAUCUAAUAAUGAAAUGACUCAGUUUUCUAUGCUUUUUUAUUCAACUAAAAGCAUUAAACAUCAAUUGUCAUGUGUUGAAACUCGGAACCCCCAACAAAAUGGGGUUGUUGAAAGGAAGCACCAAGCGAACAACACAAAUUAAAUGUGGCUAGGGCAUUCAUGUUUCAGUUUCAUUUACCUCUUCCCUUUUGGUCUUUUAUCACUCACAUGUAGUGCAUAUAAUUAACAUGCUUCCAUCUGCUACCCUCAAAUUCAAAUCUAAUUCUCCACAUCACAUACAGUUUAAUAUACAAUCAUACCACACCUCCAUUAAAGCUUUUAGCUCAUGUGUUAUACUUAUACCAUCACCUCUAACAUAACAAAAUUUGAAACCUAGGGCUAGAAAAUGUUUCCAUCUUGGUCACAAAAAUGGCUCAAAAGGUUAGUUAUUGUUUGAUCUGAAAACCAGAGAGAUUUUUCUCUCAAGACAUGCCAUCUUUCAUAUCCUACCACAAGAAAAUCAGUCCUCUCAGCCAGCCACCAAAAUCCGCCCCAAU
rnacentral:lncRNA from 1 species